rnacentral:lncRNA from 1 species
AGCCAAGUCAGGCAAAUUUCAAAUGUCCAUCUAUUAAUCCAGAUGUUCUUACAUUAGUCUCUAUUUUAUCCUUUAGGUUACUCAUAAGAUACGGUUUCUCACACAAAUAUGGAGCUGUUGUUAAGUCUAACUAUGGGUCAACUUCAGUCAUCUUGGGAGAAUUUAAAGACUUUUCUCCUCUACAAAAUGGACCAAGGAGAGCCAGAGGAGGCAAGGAAUUUUGAAUACCAAGAACUCGCUUCAUGUAAUACGAUUAAAGCCUUUUAAAUGUAAAGAUCAAUAGGUCAAACCAUAAUAAAAUACAGC